GCCGCGGUGGUGAAACAGGCAGACACAAGGGACUUAAAAUCCCUCGGUAGCAAUACCAUGCGAGUUCGAUUCUCGCCCGCGGCA
rnacentral:tRNA from 1 species